rnacentral:rRNA from 2 species
CACUCUCGGCAACGGAUAUCUCGGCUCUCGCAUCGAUGAAGAACGUAGCGAUAUGCGAUACCUGGUGUGAAUUGCAGAAUCCCGCGAACCAUCGAGUCUUUGAACGCAAGUUGCGCCCGAGGCCACUCGGCCGAGGGCACGCCUGCCUGGGCGUCA